UUAAACUUAUCCAUAUCCGAGUCAAGCCGCUCACAUCUUCCUUUUUAUUAUAUAAUUUAAACACAUGUGUGUCUUUUAUUUUGUUGAGUCGAUUUUUCUUUUUAAUUUUAAAUAGCAUGUUGCUCUACUAUAAAAUCUUUCUCAAUAUAUAUUUUCUCAUAUAAAAAAAAAAGAAAAGGAAAAAAAACACACAAAGGGAAAACGACACUUCACCCUAUUCUUGAUUUUCCAAACGCG
rnacentral:lncRNA from 1 species